rnacentral:rRNA from 1 species
UUCUGAGGGUCGGUCAAAGGCUCUGGGAAUGUAUCUACCUACGGGUAGACUUAUAGACCAGGGUGUCAUGCGGCCUCUCGGGACCGAGGAACGCGCUUCGGCUCGGAUGUUGGCGUAAUGGUUGUCAGCGA